UUAGUUUUUGUAGCCUUUAGCUGGUAGAAAUGCUGCUUAGUCAGUAACAGCCUACGCUUGGAAGGAGUACGUACAUGAGCAGUGGGAUUUUAUCUUCUCGUAUAUAAUUAGCGCAGUGCUGUACCUGGUCGACUGGAUGGAGUUCACUAACCGUCUUUAGAACUCCGAAAGUAGUUGUCGCUUGCCGAGCUCUUCAGCAACAUUACAUUUUCUUGUCUCCUUCUGUAUCUCCCUUGGAAGACCGAUACGUGUCGUGAGUCGGAGGAGCUUCGGAAACAUUCAACAUGGAACGCCACUGCCUUCUAAUCGCAGCUGUUCUCGCAUCGACGGUGUUGGUCUUUGCACAUGGAGCCUCAAUUGUCCCAAAGCCGCCGAAGGACUGUUCCAAUAUAGCGUGCACUCUCCAGCACUGCCCUGAAGGCCAGUCUUCAGUCCUUUUACCAGGAGAAUGCUGUCCACAUUGCGCUCCAUGUGAAGCCAUAACGUGUCCACCAGUUGAUUGCAAGAACAAUGAGAUAGCCAUGGUGACCCCAGAUAGUUGCUGUGCGCAUUGCGUUCCUUUCCCUCAAAUACCAGGAUGUGAAUCUGUGAGGUGCCCGACACUACUCUGCCGCCCUGCAUAUAUUCCAGUUCUGCGACCUGGCCGUUGCUGCCCCAGUUGUGAACCGAACGGGGAUGUUGCUACCAUCAGGAUUGACCGAAAGUGAUUUUGAAGCGUAUUGCGAUAUCAAUGACAACCGAAGCGUGUAACCCUGACACUUACAGCAUGGGCCAUGAUUAGAAUUCUUAUCAUCAAUAAUAUGCGCACCAAGAUGGUGUGUGAGCGCAUUACCUGUUUGCCUAAAAGAAAGUGAGAAGGACGGUUGGUGUCUUUUCGUUAAACUGCACAACCAUUGUACUUCGAGCAUCAUAUUGUUGCUUACGUUCUAUUUCUUGUAGUGAUGAGAGAACACCAUGAUUUAUGGGAGUGAUCAUGUGACCCCAUGCAUUCUGGGAGUGAUGACAUGUGAAGCGCAUAUGCGGCAGAUUUAUCAAUGCCAGCCUAGCGCCUCCCGCAGUGCUGUUUUCAUGGCCAAGUUUUUUUCUAUGAUUUGUGCAGUCCAAGAAUGCGUGGAGAUCAUUCCCCACCAAGUAGUCAGAUAUAUAAUAUCCUACAACUACCUACCUCUGUUUAAACACACAAAGAGAAAGGAUCAUUCUUUUCGUUUA